rnacentral:rRNA from 1 species
AUCAGCUUGUUGGUGAGGUAACGGCUCACCAAGGCGACGACGGGUAGCCGGCCUGAGAGGGCGACCGGCCACAUUGGGACUGAGAUACGGCCCAAACUCCUACGGGAGGCAGCAGUGGGGAAUAUUGCACAAUGGGCGAAAGCCUGAUGCAGCAACGCCGCGUGCGGGAAGACGGCCUUCGGGUUGUAAACCGCUUUCAGUAGGGACGAAGCUAACGUGACGGUACCUACAGAAGAAGCACCGGCUAACUACGUGCCAGCAGCCGCGGUGAUACGUAGGGUGCGAGCGUUGUCCGGAAUUAUUGGGCGUAAAGAGCUUGUAGGCGGUUUGUCACGUCGGGAGUGAAAACUCGGGGCUUAACCCCGAGCCUGCUUCCGAUACGGGCUGACUUGAGGAAGGUAGGGGAGAAUGGAAUUCCUGGUGAAGCGGUGGAAUGCGUAGAUAUCAGGAGGAACACCAGUGGCGAAGGCGGUUCUCUGGACCUUUCCUGACGCUGAGAAGCGAAAGCGUGGGGAGCAAACAGGCUUAGAUACCCUGGUAGUCCACGCCGUAAACGGUGGGUACUAGGUGUGGGGAACAUUCCACGUUCUCCGUGCCGCAGCUAACGCAUUAAGUACCCCGCCUGGGGAGUACGGCCGCAAGGCUAAAACUCAAAGGAAUUGACGGGGCCCCGCACAAGCGGCGGAGCAUGCGGAUUAAUUCGAUGCAACGCGAAGAACCUUACCUGGGUUUGACAUAUACCGGAAACAUCUAGAGAUAGGUGCCCCUUUUUGGUCGGUAUACAGGUGGUGCAUGGCUGUCGUCAGCUCGUGUCGUGAGAUGUUGGGUUAAGUCCCGCAACGAGCGCAACCCUCGUCCUAUGUUGCCAGCGGAUAAUGCCGGGGACUCAUAGGAGACCGCCGGGGUCAACUCGGAGGAAGGUGGGGAUGACGUCAAGUCAUCAUGCCCCUUAUGUCCAGGGCUUCACGCAUGCUACAAUGGCCGGUACAAAGAGCUGCGAACCUGCAAGGGUGAGCGAAUCUCAAAAAGCCGGUCUCAGUUCGGAUUGGGGUCUGCAACUCGACCCCAUGAAGUCGGAGUCGCUAGUAAUCGCAGAUCAGCAACGCUGCGGUGAAUACGUUCCCGGGGCUUGUACACACCGCCCGU